GUUUGUGUGGGUUGUUUUGUGUUUUCCUCUCUCCACCACCAGGCGGUACCCUGUCCUUGUUGGGCCUCCCUGCACACCUGCGGCGCGUUGGGUCAUUACCAGAGGAGUACUUGAGCAGCGGACCAUCACCACCUCGACGCCAGGAUGCCCUCCUGAUCCACUGGAUAAGCCUGGUCUUUCUACCCGCCUUGGAAAGAAUAAUUCGAGCCACACUGAGCAAGGGGAAACCCGGUGACAGUCUGUUCCAUUGCUCCUUUGGAUCCAACGCUAGUCUGCUUGUCCUCCCUCCAACGUGUUCAUUCAUCUCUGGAUUAAACCCCCACAAACUGGACCCAAGGGAAACCAAGAAUCCCCCUAACAGAGUUUCUGGUUCCGGUUCUCCAGACCACUGAAGUCCCACUGAGAUAACCCUGCAUAUAAUCUCUUUCUCUGCUUUUGUCAAUGUCUCAAUAAACCUG